rnacentral:tRNA from 1 species
UCCCUGGAGGACUAGUGGUUAGGCCACAGCGCUCUCACUGCUGCGACCCGGGUUCGAUUCCCGGCCAGGAAC